AAUAAAAAAGAAGAAGAUAAAU
rnacentral:sRNA from 1 species